GAUGAACGCUGACAGCAUGCUUAACACAUGCAAGUCGACUGUGGUGGACGGGUAAGAAACGCGUAAAGAACUUGCCUCACAGAUAGGGCCAACCUUUGGAAACGAAUGCUAAUACCUGAUACUGUGAGAGAGUUUUGCGUCCCAUUGGCUAGUUGGAGAGGCAACGGGUCACCAAGGCGAGGAUGGGUAGCCGGCCUGAGAGGGUGGUCGGCCACAAGGGGACGGAGACACCGCCAGUACGCCUACGGGGAGCUGCAGUGGGGAGUAUAGGACAAGGUACCAAAGUCUCAUCCGGCAAUUCGGUGUGCGGGAUGUAGUUUUCGGAAUGUAAAGUGAUUUCAUUUGGUAAUCAGUACCUAGAGAAGAAGCGCCGGCUAAAUACGUGCCAGCAGCCGCGGUAAUAC
rnacentral:rRNA from 1 species